rnacentral:rRNA from 1 species
UACGUAGGGUGCAAGCGUUAAUCGGAAUUACUGGGCGUAAAGCGCGCGCAGGCGGCGAUCUACGUCUGGGGUGAAAGCCCGGAGCUCAACUCUGGGACUGCCUUGGAUACGGGAUCGCUUGAGGAUUGGAGAGGCAAGGGGAAUUCCACGUGUAGCGGUGAAAUGCGUAGAGAUGUGGAGGAACACCAGUGGCGAAGGCGACCACCUGGACUGAUAC